rnacentral:rRNA from 1 species
UACGGAGGGGCUAGCGUUUAUUCGGAAUUACUGGGCGUAAAGCGCACGUAGGCGGCUUUGUAAGUUAAGAAGUGAAAGCCCGAGCUCAACUCUGGAAUGCCUUUUAGACUGCAUCGCUUAAGUAUAUGGAGAGGUAGUGGAAUUCCGAGUGUAGAGGUGAAAUUCGUAGAUAUUCGGAAGAACACCAGUGGCGAAGGCGGCU